rnacentral:rRNA from 1 species
AGCGAACGCUGGCGGCGUGCUUAACACAUGCAAGUCGAGUGCGCGCCUGUAGCAAUACAGGUGGCGCACGGCGCACGGGUGCGUAACACGUGGGCAAUCUGCCCUUCGAUGGGGAAUAACCUCGCGAAAGCGAGGCUAAUUCCGCAUAACAUUCCGGGGAUCUCGGUCCUUGGAUUCAAAGCCGCAAGGCGUCGGAGGAGGAGCCCGCGCACGAUUAGCAGUUGGUGAGGUAACGGCUCACCAAGGCUUUGAUCGUUAGCUGGUCUGAGAGGAUGGCCAGCCACACUGGGAACUGAGACACGGGUCCAGACUCCUACGGGAGGCAGCAGUGGGGAAUCUUGCACAAUGGGCGAAAGCCUGAUGCAGCGACGCCGCGUGGGGGAUGAAGCUUUUCGGAGUGUAAACCCCUUUCGACCCGGACGAAUGCCCCGCAAGGGGACUGACGGUACGGGUAUAAGAAGCCCCGGCUAACUACGUGCCAGCCGCCGCCGUAAG